GGAAAGGCUGUAGGUCAGUGGCAGAACAUCAGCCUUGAAAGCAGAAGGUUCUUGGUUCAAUCCCUGCUCCAGCAUCUCCA